rnacentral:lncRNA from 1 species
UUUUCCACCAAAGUUAUUAUCAAGUGUUACAACCAUAGGAGAGGAAGACCUGUGCUUUAGCGCCGGCGUGAGGAUCUACACGCCAAGCAAACACACGCCUCCAUAUUAGCCAUAGUAAUCUUUCAAUUCCAUGAGCGAUCUUCUCCUUAGUUCUUGCCGCAAGUGCACACGCCCGUCUGUGCGCACUUGUCGCAGGUAUCGGUACCCACGGUGCGGUUCUUGCCGCAAGUGCAAACCCCGGUUUGAGCGCACUUGUCGCAAGUGUCCACGCCCUCCACGCGGUUCUUCCCGCAGGUGCAAACCCCGGUUUGGGCGCACUUGUCACAGGUUGCCACUCCAACCGGGGCGGCAAAGUUCGCACCGCUGCGAGAGCAAAUCACCUUUUCAGUGAGGGAUGCAUGGAGAGAUUCGCGAGAGUUUCACCUGAAGUCUCCGGCGGUGCUCAGGAACGCAGCAUCAGCGAUCCUCUUGCCGCAUCUGCAAGUCACAGCUCGAGUUAAUUCGAUCGCCCUUUUAAGAAACUCUGUUUGUGAUUGUGACUAGGAGUCCUGGAGUGGAACAGGAGUAACAAGGAUGUGAUCCGAGAGAGCGAGAGAAACAAGAGCUAGAAAACAAAAGGUUCCUCUCAAUCGAGGAAGAAGUUUGACAAGAAUGAGACGUCAAUCACUUACGAGC